GUAACGGCGAGUGAAGCGGCAACAGCUCAAAUUUGAAAUCUGGCUCUUUCAGGGUCCGAAUUGUAAUUUGCAGAGGAUGCUUUGGGUGCGGGCGCCUUCCGAGUUCCCUGGAACGGGACGCCAUAGAGGGUGAGAGCCCCGUCUGGUAGGAUGCCCAGCCCGUGUAAAGCUCCCUCGACGAGUCGAGUAGUUUGGGAAUGCUGCUCUAAGGGGAGGUAUACUCCUUCCAAAGCUAAAUACCGGCUGGAGACCGAUAGCGCACAAGUAGAGUGAUCGAAAGAUGAAAAGCACUUUGAAAAGAGAGUCAAAUAGCACGUGAAAUUGUUGAAAGGGAAGCGCUCGCUACCAGACUUGGGUACGCGGUUCCGUAGGUGCUCCGCACCUGCGUACUCCUCGUGCCCAGGCCAGCAUCAGUUCUUCGUCGGGUUAAAAGGCUUCGGGAAUGUGGCUCGCCUCGGUGAGUGUUAUAGCCCGUUGUGUCAUGCCCGGUGGGGGACUGAGGUACGCGCUCCGCAAGGAUGCUGGCGUAAUGGUAGCUAGUGACCCGUCUUGAAACACGGACCAAGGAGUCAACCUUAUGUGCAAGUGCCCGGGCGUAAAACCCCAGCGCGGAAUGAAAGUGAACGUAGGUGAGAGCUUCGGCGCAUCACCGACCGAUCCUGAUGUCCUCGGACGGAUUUGAGUGUGAGCAUAUAGGGUUGGACCCGAAAGAAGAUGAACUAUGCGUGUGUAGGGUGAAGCCAGAGGAAACUCUGGUGGAGGCUCGCAGCGGUUCUGACGUGCAAAUCG
rnacentral:misc_RNA from 1 species